GCCCUUGAAGCAUUGGUGGUGAUGCAGCCGCCUUGUAAGCGGACGAUGCGGAUUCGAACGCCGCAUGGGGCUCCA
rnacentral:tRNA from 1 species